GAUGAACGCUGGCGGCGUGCUUAACACAUGCAAGUCGAACGAUGAAGCCCAGCUUGCUGGGUGGAUUAGUGGCGAACGGGUGAGUAACACGUGAGUAACCUGCCCUUAACUCUGGGAUAAGCCUGGGAAACUGGGUCUAAUACCGGAUAGGAGCGUCCACCGCAUGGUGGGUGUUGGAAAGAUUUAUCGGUUUUGGAUGGACUCGCGGCCUAUCAGCUUGUUGGUGAGGUAAUGGCUCACCAAGGCGACGACGGGUAGCCGGCCUGAGAGGGUGACCGGCCACACUGGGACUGAGACACGGCCCAGACUCCUACAGGAGGCAGCAGUGGGGAAUAUUGCACAAUGGGCGCAAGCCUGAUGCAGCGACGCCGCGUGAGGGAUGACGGCCUUCGGGUUGUAAACCUCUUUCAGUAGGGAAGAAGCGAAAGUGACGGUACCUGCAGAAGAAGCACCGGCUAACUACGUG
rnacentral:rRNA from 1 species